rnacentral:rRNA from 1 species
UCCUACGGGAGGCAGCAGUGGGGAAUUUUGGACAAUGGGGGCAACCCUGAUCCAGCCAUGCCGCGUGAGUGAAGAAGGCCUUCGGGUUGUAAAGCUCUUUCAGGUGGAAAGAAAUCUCCCGGGUGAAUACCCUGGGAGGAUGACGGUACCAUCAGAAGAAGCACCGGCUAACUACGUGCCAGCAGCCGCGGUAAUACGUAGGGUGCGAGCGUUAAUCGGAAUUACUGGGCGUAAAGCGUGCGCAGGCGGUUGUGUAAGACAGAUGUGAAAUCCCCGGGCUCAACCUGGGAACUGCGUUUGUGACUGCACAACUAGAGUACGGCAGAGGGAGGUGGAAUUCCGCGUGUAGCAGUGAAAUGCGUAGAGAUGCGGAGGAACACCGAUGGCGAAGGCAGCCUCCUGGGCCAGUACUGACGCUCAUGCACGAAAGCGUGGGGAGCAAACAGGAUUAGAUACCCUGGUAGUCCACGCCCUAAACGAUGUCAACUAGUUGUUCGGUGAGGAGACUCAUUGAGUAACGCAGCUAACGCGUGAAGUUGACCGCCUGGGGAGUACGGCCGCAAGGUUAAAACUCAAAUGAAUUGACGG